UUUGACUGUGGCUCUGAAGGCCAGGCCUUCAGACCUUGGGUGGAUCCCUAGGAUGUGACACAUGGCUUGAGCCUACUCUUGAGGUUCUCCAGUGAUCUGCUGGUUAGAGGCACAGCUCAUCUACCUGCAUAUUCUGGAGCUGAAAUGUCCACCUAUGGAGGAGGUUCAAUGAAUUUCGGAUUUGUACAACAGAAGAAGAAACAACGUGAUGAGAAGUCUAUCUCUUCAAAAGUCAUUGAAUGUAUUUGAAAGGUCAUUGCAUCACUGGACAGAAAGUUCUGUAAGGGAGAGCACAUAUGAUAUUUUCUAGGUCUGCCCUCAGCCAUCCCAGCUGGAUCCAGGAAGAGGAGGUGGGAUAGUUGCUAGGAAUUUGCAAAAUUGUGCAACAUACUGUUAUAUUUUAAAACGGU